AACGAACGCUGGCGGCAUGCCUAACACAUGCAAGUCGAACGGAAGCAGCGAGCUUGCUUGUGGAUGCAGCGGUGGACGGGUGAGAAAUGCCCAUGAGUCCGCCUGGUAGUGGGGGAUGACGUCCUGAUACGGGCGCUAAUACUCCAUACUACGAGUUGGAGCAAGUGGGUGGGCUUCGGAUCGCUUGCUUUCUUGUGAGUCUAGGCGCGGUGAGAUAGUUGGGGGGGUAAAGGGUUACAUAGGAGGCGAUGCGCAACUGGUAUUAGAGGAAGGUCAGUCACCCGGGAACUGAGCCAGGGUCCAGACUCCUACGGGAGGCAGCAGUCGGGAAUAUUGGGCAAUGGGGGAAAGCCUGAUACAGCCAUGCGGCGUGUGUGAAGAAGGUCUUCGGAUUGUAAAGCACUUUAAGUUGGGAGGAAGGGCAGUCAGUUAAUACCUUGCUGUAUUGACGGUACCAGGAGAAUAAGCACCGGCUAACUUCGUG
rnacentral:rRNA from 1 species